rnacentral:rRNA from 1 species
AGAGUUUGAUCAUGGCUCAGAUUGAACGCUGGCGGCAUGCCUUACACAUGCAAGUCGAACGGUAACAGGUUAAGCUGACGAGUGGCGAACGGGUGAGUAAUGUAUCGGAACGUGCCCAGUCGUGGGGGAUAACUACUCGAAAGAGUGGCUAAUACCGCAUGAGACCUGAGGGUGAAAGCGGGGGAUCGCAAGACCUCGCGCGAUUGGAGCGGCCGAUAUCAGAUUAGCUAGUUGGCGGGGUAAAAGCCCACCAAGGCGACGAUCUGUAGCUGGUCUGAGAGGACGACCAGCCACACUGGGACUGAGACACGGCCCAGACUCCUACGGGAGGCAGCAGUGGGGAAUUUUGGACAAUGGACGAAAGUCUGAUCCAGCCAUGCCGCGUGCGGGAAGAAGGCCUUCGGGUUGUAAACCGCUUUUGUCAGGGAAGAAACGACGUCCUCUAAUACAGGGUGUUAAUGACGGUACCUGAAGAAUAAGCACCGGCUAACUACGUGCCAGCAGCCGCGGUAAUACGUAGGGUGCAAGCGUUAAUCGGAAUUACUGGGCGUAAAGCGUGCGCAGGCGGUUAUGCAAGACAGAUGUGAAAUCCCCGGGCUCAACCUGGGAACUGCAUUUGUGACUGCAUGGCUAGAGUACGGUAGAGGGGGAUGGAAUUCCGCGUGUAGCAGUGAAAUGCGUAGAUAUGCGGAGGAACACCGAUGGCGAAGGCAAUCCCCUGGACCUGUACUGACGCUCAUGCACGAAAGCGUGGGGAGCAAACAGGAUUAGAUACCCUGGUAGUCCACGCCCUAAACGAUGUCAACUGGUUGUUGGGAGGGUUUCUUCUCAGUAACGUAGCUAACGCGUGAAGUUGACCGCCUGGGGAGUACGGCCGCAAGGUUGAAACUCAAAGGAGUUGACGGGGACCCGCACAAGCGGUGGAUGAUGUGGUUUAAUUCGAUGCAACGCGAAAAACCUUACCUACCCUUGACAUGUCUGGAAUCCUGAAGAGAUUUGGGAGUGCUCGAAAGAGAGCCAGAACACAGGUGCUGCAUGGCCGUCGUCAGCUCGUGUCGUGAGAUGUUGGGUUAAGUCCCGCAACGAGCGCAACCCUUGUCAUUAGUUGCUACGAAAGGGCACUCUAAUGAGACUGCCGGUGACAAACCGGAGGAAGGUGGGGAUGACGUCAGGUCAUCAUGGCCCUUAUGGGUAGGGCUACACACGUCAUACAAUGGCCGGUACAGAGGGCUGCCAACCCGCGAGGGGGAGCCAAUCCCAGAAAACCGGUCGUAGUCCGGAUCGUAGUCUGCAACUCGACUGCGUGAAGUCGGAAUCGCUAGUAAUCGCGGAUCAGCUUGCCGCGGUGAAUACGUUCCCGGGUCUUGUACACACCGCCCGUCACACCAUGGGAGCGGGUUCUGCCAGAAGUAGUUAGCCUAACCGCAAGGGGGGCGAUUACCACGGCAGGGUUCGUGACUGGGGUGAAGUCGUAACAAGGUA